CCACAGCCUCCUCAGGACGGAGCCCGAAUGCUCCCCACCAACCACCCUGGCCGGACAGCCUGAGACUGACUGAGCGCUGAGCUGCUGCCGAGGGCUGGGGAAGGAAGGAGGGGGAGAGGGGGAGGGGGAGGGGGAGGGAAGGGCAGAAGGUGGAGCCUCCAGUGCUUUCCUUCAUCCCCAACUCUCAGGGCUCCUCUGCCAGACACCCCCACCCUGGCUCCCUGCACUGGCACCCCAGGCCCAUCCUGGGGCCUGGGCUCAGUCUGGAAGUUGAAGGAGUGGGGGUGGUCAGGUGGGGAAAGCCAAGAGAUACAGGUGGGCAAGGCCAGAACCUGUUGCUUGGAGGAAAACUGGGCCCAACUGGAACCCCCAAACUCUGCCUCAGGUGGCAGAUGGGCAGUUGGCAAAAGAUUGGGGAGGGAUGAAAAGAGGCAGGUGAAGCUUCUAUCCACAUGCACGGGCAUCUGGCCUGUGUUGCUUAUCUUAAGACAUCUUACUGAGUGUGCCCACUGUGGCCGGGCACCACUGGCCAGGCCCUGCUUCCCAGCCCGCCUUAUCCUGCCUCCCACCUCCACCCACGCUGCCCCUUCGUGGCUCAACUUAUACAGCAAGACAGAGAUCUCAGGUCCACACCUGGUGAGCCAGGGGCCAGCUGGACAGCCCUUGCUCAGCAGAGGUGCCCGCCUUCUCACCAGACCCCAGCACACAGAAGGGCUGGGCUGGUCCCAGGUAAGGGGGCAGGAUCAAGUUUCCAGGAGGCUGGUGUGGGGCUGUGCUGGGGAUCCUCUGUAAGUAGGCCUGAAAAACUUCUGGGGCCCCAUUCCCUCCACACUGGGCUAAUGCCCUCUUGGUUGGGGGAGUUGCAGUCCCUGUUACCAUGAAAUCCCCCACUCCCCUACCCUGAGAAAGGGGGGAGUUGCCCUGCCUCCUCUUCCUCCCCUCUGUCCAUGCAUCCCCUCAGCCUCCUCCCCAAAGGCCUGACUCCCCUCCUUUUUCUUUCCUGCCUGUCAUCCAAGGCUCCUUUUUCUCUUCUUUUUUCUAGGUGUCUCUUUCAAAGGUCAAAGCCCAUCUCUUCUCAGCGGGCAGGCGAGUGUCAAGGCACAUCCCAAUGGGUGGGUGUGCACGGAGGGGCAGAGAGCCCAGGCCAUGUUGGGGACCACGAGCGGUUCUGAGCUCCUCAGCAGCUGAGCAAGGCUGAAGCCCCACCCCAGGGGAGCCCUUUCUGGAGUGGGCCUGGAAAGGGGUCUAGGCACAGCCUCAUGCUUGGGGAAGGCCAACGAGAUGGAGGGGGUGGGCAAUGGGACACAAUGAGGUAGUCACACGAGGCAAAGGCAUGUUGGGGGUGGGGGCAGCGGACACUGGAACACACACACACACAUGCUCACACACACGACCAGCCAGACAAUCGGACCAGUGUGCCUGGGGCCUCAGAGCCCAGUGAAUUAGGAGUUUGAUAAGGGUUUUCUCUUUCUCUUGCUUGCUGGCCUUGGACAAUCUCCCCCCAGUUUUCCUCGACGCCACCCCCGGCGCUGCCAACCCUCCUCCCCCCCGCCUCCCUUCUCUUCCCUGUGCCCAGACUCUUGUUCAGGGCCUUGAAACAGUGAGCUGUCUUUGUUCGAAAUACAGGUGAACGGCAAUCAUGUGAUUAACACACACACACAUAAAAAGCUUUUUAACAGCGCCCGCCCGGCCUCAGAACCGCCCAGAGAGGAGCCGCCCUGGAUGGACAGAGGGACGGAGGGACGAGCAUCCAGUUGGUCGUGUCCGCUUGCCCGCAGCAGUCUCCGACACUCGCUUCUGCCCGCCCGCUGCCUGCCUGCCUGGCAUCUCUCGAUCCCGUGACCUGCCUGGACAGGUGACGUCCUGCCUCCAGUUCUGUUAACCCUCUCAAAGGCCAAGAUGGGACUGAGGGCCUGCUCAUCCCAGCUGUCCCUGGAAGGAGCUUCACUGGGGACCAGAGACAUCAGGCCGGCCCUGCGGAGGUCGUAGGCCCUGAGCCUGCCGCCUGCUGGUGGAGAGGCCUCCUGGCUGCCAGGGCCGGGCUGAGAGCCUCAGUGCCUGAGCACCUGCUCCAUGCUGGAUGUCUGCUGGCCACCGGGACAUAGAGAGGAAUCUGGCACUGCCUCUUGACCUUAAGGUCCCAUGGUUCCUCAGAGGACACAGGUCAACAAACACCUAAUUCACUACACCCAGUAGUGGUCAGCUCUGGGUGGAAUCUUCUUAACCUUUGGCAGGGAGGGCUAGAGGCUUUUUAUUACCUUACCCCACAAAAAUGUUUAAAAACUAAAGAAAAAGCUUCAAAAUAAGCAAAGCAAACAUCAAAUCAGAAAUAAUCAAAAUUUCAAAUGAAAAACCACAAAAAGCUUUUAAAAUUUAUAGCCAAAACUUUUUUAUUUUUAAUAUGUCACACAAGUACUUUUUAACAUGCUUGAUAUGAUAUGGGGUCUGUCUGGGACCUACAAGGGUCUUAUGAAAUGGUCCUAAAGCACCAGGAGCUGAGGGUGCUCAGCAAAGGGAGCUGUGCCUAGGACAAUCAAUGAGGGCUUCCCGGUGGAGGGGAUAUUUGGGUCAAACCUUAAAAAGAGACAAGGGUCUGAACAGAGGGAAAAAGCAGCCUAGUGGUAAUUGAGGUAGAAAUAGAUGCACGAAUAAAGGAACAGAUAAAGGAAAGUAUGUGGAGAAUUUAGGAGACACACAGGAUAUUUGGAAUGCAACGUAAUUUGGACUUAGGGUGCAGACAGCAGAGGAGGGCAGAGUUACACUAGAAAGGUUGGCAGGGGACUUGAAACUAAGGACAAUAGGGAGCCGCGGAGAAGUUUUAAGAAGCAGGAGCGGUGGCAACAUGGCCAGACUUUCUUAAAACUUCUUUAAAAACUCUUCUAAGGCAUUAUGGAAGAUGCAUGGCAGGGAAGGAAGGGAGGUUCUGGAAGAGACUGGAGGCAGGGAGGCCAGUUAGGAGGCUGAAGUGUUAAUCCUGGUGAAAGAUGCUGAGGACCUGUGCUGGGGCAGGGCCAAAGUGGGCAGAGAAGAGGAGAGAUUUGAGAAUGGAUCAGGCUGUGGCUGGAGUGAAAGGUGCUGGGCAAAUAAUAGCAACGCCUGAAUUUCCCUGAGUGCCCACUGUGGGCCUGGCGCUUUCCACGACGUGUCUCAGAGGCAGGCUUCACUUACCUGAACUCUGCCUUCUGUGAACCUUCAUCUAACCAGAGUCCUAUGUGCCCCAUGCUUAAAUGACAACAUCAAAGAACACAUAAGUGAUAUACAUUCAUUGUAGACAAAUUAGAAAAUAUGGAGAAACAGAAAGAGGAAAGUCAAAAUCACUCUUAAUAUCAUUGUCCAGAGAGAAUCCAUUUAGGUUUGGUGUAAAUAUUUCCAAACUUUUCUCUUUAAGUGUGUUCAGCUCUGUGUACAUCUGAAUGUGUCUGUCUGAACAGCUAAAUGCACAGUAGAUAAACGUGUCUCUAGACAGAGAACAAGGGAGGUGUUUGGGAUGCGUCUGAGUACAUAUGUGCACCUGAGUGUUUGGGUUUAUGUCAACUUCAUGGUAAGCAAACUCAUCUAGAUGCUCACUGGAUCUAUCAGGAACCGAGAGAAGCAGGUUAAAGUCUCCUAUUCCCAACAUGCUUCAAUUUCUCCCUGAAUCUCCCAUAGUUUUUGUUUUGUGCAUAUUUGGUGUAUAAGUAUUUCUUUUUAAAAUAUCUUUAUUAUGAUUAGCUUGUAGCUUUGUAAAGUCCACUUUCUCAUUAUUUUUAAUGCAUUUGGGCUAAAUCUAACCUUGUCAGAUCACUGGGUUGUAAUCUCUGAUCAUCUGUGUUGGGUCAGUAUGCCUUUACCAUCAGCAAACAAAUACACAGUGUAGAUAUUUAAACGUUUGAACUCCAGAGGCUAACAGAACUGAGCUGGAGUCCUGAUUCUGACAUUCUCUGGAUGUGUGGCCUGGGCAAGUCCCUUAAUGUUUCAAACGUCCAUUUUCAAUGAAGGAGGCUAAUGACAACUUCAUAGAGUUGUGAUUAAAGGAGAAAUGUCUUACAUUAAAAAUAGAAGAUUGCUAUGCAGACACCCACUGUCUGUAGGGCCUUCUGCCAUGGAGAAUUCAAGGAUUUCUGAGCAGCUGCUUAGAGGAUCUGUUAAUAAGAGCACAUUCACGUGCAGACCUGGUAACAGUGCAGGGGGUGGGGGAAACUUUCUCUUGAGCGGCUGGGAGGAAGGUUGCUGGAGGUUGGAGGAUGGAAGUGGGAAGCCCAGGGAUCUUUGCAGACAGCUCCUGAAGAAGGAGAAGUUGGGACAGAAGAGUGUGGAGAGGACUGAGCUGGCUGGAGAGGAGAUGGGUCAGGUGUGCCCUCCAGGAGUUAGUCCUGAUGCACUGUGCGUAUGCUGACCCGUGACUGCAGUGGGCUGUGGGUCCCAGGUUUGUGGGGAGGAGGUAGGAAGAUACAAGGCUUGGGAGUCUGUGAGGGUGCGUAAUGGUGGGCCUCUGAAUGUCAGGUUCAAGAACUUGGAGUCCCAAUGGGGAACUACAUAGGAUUUCAGCUCAGGGGCGGUGGGAGCAUUGCAGAGCAUCUGCAAGCUCACCCCGGGUUGGGUCGGGAUGGGGGAUGUGGAUGGGUACAGGGUGGUGGUGCAGGAUAACAUAAGGUAGAAGAGCAGAACUGGCCUGGGGUGCCAGAGAUGAGGUAACCCACCAACGAGACAUUAAGAUGGAAGGAAUUUGGUGGCCAGUUGGUCUGUGUAGAUGGCAGGCUGAGGGGUUGCCAGGCAGGGUGGGGAUGGGAGGGGUGAUACCAUCUCCUGAAGUGAAGGGCUUUCAAGCAGAGCCCCUCCAAGAGAGGUCUACAGACCGGUACCUUCUCUGGAGGGCUAAGUACAAAACGAAGAUAAAUACAGACCUUAGAAAUCCACGUAACAAUUUGACAUAGCUGCUAUUUCCAAAAGGCUGAUUGGCUUUUAGUAAUUCAUUUUUAUUUUACAAAAAUAUUGGUCUGCAAAGGAUUGGUUUUCUGAAAAAAAGCUUGUCCUUCCUUCCAGGCAGCUGGGGAAGCACCAGUCUAGAUGGACAGCUGGUGUCCACAGAAGGCAGCGAGUGGGUGUGUGGGUGGGUGCGCAUAUGCUGAAGGGGCCUUGAGAUUAUUCGCAGGGUCAGAGGUCAGAAUGAUCACAGGUAGCUGACCGUGGUGCCCGUCCCAUGGUGAGGGCCAUCCUGGAAGCUGUCACUCAGCAGCUAUUUCUCAAGCACUCACUGUGCGCCAGAACAGGCUCCGAAGUGUGUGUUAAUACAGAGGCGAGCAAGCCAGAUUUGUCCUUGGCCACCUGGAGCUGAUACCCUCUCACUCCAGUCCCACUUUGGUGGGGGCCAAAUCAGCUCUGGGGAGGGGCAGGUGAGGGGAGCAAAGAGCAGCUUUUCCAUCCCACCAGGACCAUUACUCCCCAUAUAUCCCACCCCCACAUAGCCUCCAGCAAGGGCCUGGUUCUGGACAGGGGUCGAGGGCAAGGGGCAGAGCACAGGACUGGGGUUGGCAGCCGAGGUCCCAGCUCUGUCACUUCUGCUUAUGCUGUGGUUCUGGGGAGCUCCGUCACCUCUCUGAGCUCCAGCUUCCUGUUCUGCACAAUGGGAAUCCUGGGGUCUCUGUCCUCACCUCGCAGAGCUGAAAUUAAAAUGUCUCCCUGAAUAGAAAGAGCUCUGAAGAGAGCAGCGGGCUGACUUGGGGUCACUGAGCUCCCAGGGUGGCCCUGCAGGCUCACAAAAUCUGGAAGGGACUUGAUUUUUACUAGUUACAGGUGCUUCAUUUCUCAGUGACUAAAACGGAGAGGUCCAGAGAGGGCAAGGGAUAUGCCUGAGGUCAGCAGUGGUGAGCAGCAGAGUGGGACUGAAUGUGACUCCUGACCUGAUGUCCAGUACAGGGUGAUGGGCACAACCAGGGGCCUGCGGGGGGCAGUGUGGGCAGCUGGAUGGCAGGGCACAGGUCUCUGUAGUCCCCACCUCCCUCCCUCAGUCGCCUGGCAGCAUGUGCCCAGGAGAUGCUGGGGGGGUACCUCCUGAGACAGCAGCAAGCAGAGUGGGAUCAGGCUUGCUGACAGGGCAGACCCUGAUGGGCUGGCAGGGUGGGCAGUUGGCAGGCAGGAGGGGGCACUCAGCUGCAGGGACUGAUGUUCAGGGAUAAGAGCCCUGACCCUUGAGGAUGAGCCAGAAGAAGGGAGGCCGGGGCUCAGAGGUGGUGGGGAGGGUGCAGGGACGCAGGGGAGCGAGGGAGGGGGCCAAUGGAGGGUCAGGCUGGCUGAAAACUGGAGAGCAGCCUCCAAGACCCACUUCCAUAUCUAUAAGAUGAGGAUGUGAGCAGUGCACCCAGGGGUCCUAGAGGGGAAUGAGAGAGGAGGCUUUAGGAGGUCUCUGGCUCCCAAGAAGGUGGGCCCGAGGCCCUCUGGUCCUUAACUGUGCUUGCGUGGGCCUCACAUAGCGGGCCCCCUUAAAUACUUGCUGAAUAAUGACUACUGAAUGAAUGACGCCUGAGGGAGGGAGGGGAAACAAAAGCUAGUUGAGCCCUGGCAGACUCCUGUCCUGAGGAUACCGUGAAUCCCUGUGGGCUGCCCUGUGACUGUCAGCAGGAUUGGAGCCCCACGCAGGGUGAGCGUGGCUCCCUUUAGGGCCCUGCCAGCAUCCCCACCAUCCCCCUUUCACCCUCCUGCUGAGUGAAGCUGGUUGUAUUUUAUGUACCCUUCUCCUCUUCCUCACAUCCCUUUGGAUCAAGGCAGUGUGCACACCUAGAGGAAAUCGGGAAGAGUUUUAUCCCUGUUGUUACUGUAAGAUGCAGUACAACCCCUGGGAUUGGGGUUGGACCCCAGGGCCUGGACCCCUGUUGCUGGGAGGAGUCUGGUCAUAGCCAUCAGGUGUAAUCAGUAGUGUGACAAGGUGAUAAGAGCACUGGGGUGGAGAUACCAGAGUAUUCUGGUUAAGAGCUAGGCUCUGGAGUAAAUGUGUGUGCUUAGUCACUCCAUGCCUCAGUUUCCCCAUCUAUAAAGUGGGCAGAAUCAUAGUGCCACCUCUGGGGAGUACUGUGAUCUAUAAAAGCACCUAGAUCAGUGCCUGCUAAAUGUUAACUGUUUCUUUAACACAUACUUAUUUUAUGUCUACUAUGGGCUUUCAGACUACAUGACUGAUUCACAUUCCUUUUGAGGGAAACAAAGCCCAAAGGAAGUGAAUGUUACCUGGUGUGAUGGAGGGAGAGUUGAGUAAGGAAAGCACUGUCAGGAGUAGAGAGAGGGGUGGCCCGCAGUUUUAGAUGGGGUGAGAAAGGCAGGCCCACUAGAACCCUCCUACACUGCUGGUGGGAAUGUCAAUUAGUUCAGCCAUUGUGGAAAGCAAUAUGGAGGGUCCUCAAAAAACUAAAAAUAGAAAUACCAUUUGACCCAGGGAUUCCACUCCUAGGAAUUUACCCAAAGAAAACAAGAUCCGAGAUUCAAAAAGAUAUAUGCACCCUAUGCUUAUUGCAGCACUAUUUACAAUAACCAAGAUAUGGAAGCAACCUAAGUGUCCAUCAGUAGAUGAAUGGAUAAAGAAGAGGUGGUACAUAUACACAAUGGAAUAUUACUCAGCCAUAAGAAGAAAACAGAUCCUACUAUUUGCAACAACAUGGAUGGAGCUAGAGGGUAUUUUGCUCAGUGAAAUAAGCCAGGCGGAGAAAGACAAGUACCAGAUGAUUUCCCUCAUUUGUGGAGUGUAACAAGGAAGCAAAACUGAAGGAACAAAACAGCAGCAGACUCACAGACUCC